GACAUACACAUAUAUACUAAGAUACUCAGAACUUUCGGCAAUAAAGAAUUCAAAUGUUCUGCUGGCUCCACAUAUUUAAGAAUCCUGCUCUAAGAAAGGGGAGCAAAUCAGGAGAUUUGAGAUGCCAUUCGACAGCUAGUGGGAAACACUGACCAAUGAGAAUAGACUGAGCUUUUUGGAGGGAGGGUCUGAGGAGUUCAUCAGAUUCAGGAAGAGUCUGAAUAAAGCUCUUUGCAGGCAGGCAGUAUGAGAAAAAUAAUGGAUUUUUUUAACAUUACAGCAUUUAAACAUAUUCUAGUAGUCUCCAAAAAUAUUUAAAUAAACCUAAAGGUAUUUAACAUGAGACCUUUAAGAUAUGCUCAGUUUGCUUGUUCCUACGUGUUGUGUGUUUAAGUGCUUGUAGGGGAGAAGUAAAGUAACUUUCCACAUGUCAUUUCCAAACAGAACGCAGUUUAUGAAGGAGACUACCAUGACAGGCAUCCAAACAUCGUGACCUUCUGGGAGGUGUUUGAGAAUCUGACCGCGGAGGAGAAGAAAAAGUUAUUUCUGUUCGUCACCGGCUCCUACCGUGUUCCCUUCCUGGGUAUGGAGAGUGUUCAGAUGAAAGUCGCAGUGUUGCCCGAUUCCACCGAGAUCCAUAAGCCAGAAUCCCUCACCUGCCACCAUCUGCUGUUACUGCCCGUCUACCAGAGGUACCCGGCCGAGGGGACCAUGCACACCAGGCUCCUCGAGGCUAUUAAUCACAACAGAGGCUUCUGAAUGAAGCAAUGAAGUCCGUAUUAUUAUCAUUUAAAGAGUUGUUAUUUUUGUCGGAAUAAUCUGCCAAAUGUAAGCUUCAUCAGCAGUCCAUAUUCUAUUAUUCAGUAGUUUGAGAAACAGUUUAUGUAUGUAUUUUAUUUGUAUUUGUUUUUGAUUGGACUUAAACAUGUUGACAUAUUAAGAAAUAAUUUGAUCAUGUUUUUUGGGAACUCUGUUAUAGGUAUGACCGGUGUUUUACUAUAAACACACAUUUGAAUAGGGAAGACAUUUUUAAAAAUAAAUGAAAACUGCCUGGCGUAACACAACACUUUAAAGUGUAUAGUGGGCCAACAUUUUAAAAUCAUUCUCCACAAAUCUUUGUAAUCAGGAAAUGUAUUAUUUUCGUAACUUUGUAAACCAACAUACUAAAUAAAUGUGUUUCUCUUCAA